UUUGUGGGAGAUCUGCCGACGUGCCCUUGAGCAGGGCGUUGACCCUGGACGCUUCUGUGUGUCGCUCUGAACGGGAGUCUGUUGGAUAACUGGUGUAGUGUAGGUCUGUUGGAUAACUGGUGUGGUGUAGGUCUGUUGGAUAACUGGUGUGGUGUAGUGUAGGUCUGUUGGAUAACUGGUGUUGUGUAGUGUAGGUCUGUUGGAUAACUGGUGUGGUGUAGUGUAGGUCUGUUGGAUAACUGGUGUGGUGUAGUGUAGGUCUGUUAGAUAACUGGUGUGGUGUAGUGUAGGUCUGUUGGAUAACUGGUGUGGUGUAGUGUAGGUCUGUUGGAUAACUGGUGUGGUGUACUGUAGGUCUGUUGGAUAAGUGGUAUGAUGUUGUGUUGGUCUGUUGGAGAACUGGUGUGGUGUAGUGUAGGUCUGGAUAACUGGUGUUGUGUAGUGUAGGUCUGUUGGAUAACUGGUGUGGUGUAGUGUAGGUCUGUUGGAUAACUGGUGUUGUGUAGUGUAGGUCUGGAUAACUGGUGUGGUGUAGUGUAGGUCUG
ensembl:lncRNA